UGUAUGGUGAAGAUUCUGAAUCUCCUGACCUCUUCUCUGGAGCAAACCCAUUAGUCCAGGUUGUUUGCAAGCUGCUAUUACUCUCCUAAGCUGGGUGGAGAAACUGAAGAAAGCCCUUCCUCUCUCCAUUUUCAUCUAGAUCCACAACCUGGCAGGGACCACGUACUCCAGGCUUGCCAGGGACAAAUCUGCUCAAGCCCUCCCCGGCCUAAUUAUGAAAACGCCCCUGUGGCUCUCGAAAGUGAAAGCUGGACAACAAAUUGCACAGUCACCCUGUGUACAGAGGUCAUCACACGCUUUGGGAUCCUGUUCUCACCGGGCGCACUGAGCACGUGGUGUGACUGGAGGAGGUGGAGUGGGAAGGGAAGCUGACUUGUCCACACUGACACAGUGACCCAGCUCACAGACAGAUCUCUGAAACUGCUCAUUAUCACCAGAUGCCCUUUCGAGGGCUGAAGAACUGAAAGAAAGAUCUAAGUUACCUCCCUGUAUGACAUAUAAGAAAUGUCGGCACAUGCAGAUCUUCCUAAGGAAAGAAAAUGUAACUGUAGCAGCUCUGCAGCAAAGUGGCAAGUCACCGUGGCAGCCAUAAGAUCAAGACAGGACCCUGCAAAGUCUUCAGGAAGACCUGGUUGAGAUUCUGGCCCUAGGUCUUGGACACUUGGGCAAAGGUUAGACUCCUUGGAAGAGAACCUGGGAAAGUUGCCCAGCCUCUGGGGACAUUCACAGAGUUAAGGACAUCACCGUCAUGCAGAACUGGGCUUCUUGCAUCAUUGUGGUCCUGACUCUAGAUUAACAAAUUCACUGGCCAGCAUACACUCUUUCCAGCAUCCUUGCAGACUUCAGAAGUGUCAAGAGUCGUGCUAGCCCCAGAAAAGGCUGUUGAUUAAAGAAAUAAUGAAGA